GCCCAAAGUCGGUUUAGCUAACUUCGGAAGCGACUGCCUAAGGCAGGAUUGGUGACUGGGGUGAAGUCGUAACAAGGUAUCCCUACGAGAACGUGGGGAUGGAUCACCUCCUUUCUACGGAGUACAAUUACAAUUUCAUUUUUGGCCAAAAUCUUAAUACACUUAGCAUAUUUAUCUUGCUAAGCUUCACGAAAGUAUUAAGUCUGUUGUGUUGGUGUAGCCAAAAGCACUCUAAUAUUCAGUUUUGAGAGUAUCACUCUCAAAGCAAUUGAUCUUUGAAAACUGAAUAGCAUAUAAAUUAAUAUGAUAACGACAUCAAAAUAUAUUUUUGUAAAUAAUUUUGAUCCGAGUUGAGACCUUUUAUAGGUCUCUAUAAAUACCUUAAGAAUACAUCAAAACAUUUUUUUUAAUAGGAAAAAUAGUUACUUAAACUUUUAAAUAAGCAAGAGUUUGUAGUGG
rnacentral:misc_RNA from 1 species